rnacentral:rRNA from 1 species
AGUGAACGCUGGCGGUAGGCCUAACACAUGCAAGUCGAACGGCAGCACAGUAAGAGCUUGCUCUUACGGGUGUCGAGUGGCGGACGGGUGAGGAAUACCUCGGAAUCUACUUUUUCGUGGGGGAUAACGUAGGGAAACUUACGCUAAUACCGCAUACGACCUACGGGUGAAAGCAGGGGAUCUUCGGACCUUGCGCGAUUGAAUGAGCCGAUGUCGGAUUAGCUAGUUGGCGGGGUAAAGGCCCACCAAGGCGACGAUCCGUAGCUGGUCUGAGAGGAUGAUCAGGCACACUGGAACUGAGACACGGCCCCGACUCCGACGGGAGGCAGCAGUGGGGAAUAUUGGACAAGGGGCGCAAGCCUGAUCCAGCCAUACCGCGUGGGUGAAGAAGGCGUUCGGGUUGGAAAGCCCUUUUGUUGGGAAAGAAAAGCAGCAGGUUAAUACCCCGCUGUUCUGACGGUACCCAAAGAAUAAGCACCGGCUAACUUCGUG